GAUGAACGCUAGCGGGAGGCCUAACACAUGCAAGCCGAGCGGUAUUUGUUCUUCGGAACAGAGAGAGCGGCGCACGGGUGCGGAACACGUGUGCAACCUGCCUUUAUCUGGGGGAUAGCCUUUCGAAAGGAAGAUUAAUACCCCAUAAUAUAUUGAGUGGCAUCACUUGAUAUUGAAAACUCCGGUGGAUAGAGAUGGGCACGCGCAAGAUUAGAUAGUUGGUGAGGUAACGGCUCACCAAGUCAAUGAUCUUUAGGGGGCCCGAGAGGGUGAUCCCCCACACUGGUACUGAGACACGGACCAGACUCCUACGGGAGGCAGCAGUGAGGAAUAUUGGACAAUGGGUUAGCGCCUGAUCCAGCCAUCCCGCGUGAAGGACGACGGCCCUAUGGGUUGUAAACUUCUUUUGUAUAGGGAUAAACCUACUCUCGUGAGAGUAGCUGAAGGUACUAUACGAAUAAGCACCGGCUAACUCCGUG
rnacentral:rRNA from 1 species